AAACACAGCUAGAGGAAGACGAUGAGGUUGCUACUUUUGUGAAUCCUUACACGAAGAAGGAAACGUCGGCACUUGGUGAUUCUAAUAUGAGGAACCUGCAGCGUGGUGAUGUGAUUCAGCUUGAGAGGAAAGGCUACUACAGAUGUGAUGUGCCUUUUAUCAAGUCUUCAAAACCUAUCGUCUUGUUCUCAAUCCCAGAUGGAAGGCAACACCAGCCAUUGGCUGCUAAUUGAAGAAACUCUUAUUGAUUCUUCUUCACAUUUUAUGAAACUUGUAUUAAGGAAUUUUCUAAAAAAAAAAUCUCUGUUUAAGACAAGAAUCUUCUUUGCUUUUAGUUUUAAGUACAUCUUUUAUCACGAUGGAGCAACAAAACAAAGAAGAAGAAAAAGAUUGUGUUGUGUUGUGUUCUUGUCUCAUUUCUUGGGUUGGUAUCUGGACUUAAUCUUCUUAACCUGUUUGGGUUUGAACUGGAAAGACUUAACAAGAAUGUCUUCAGGAAGAGCACCAAAGAGAGAUGACACAAGCGACUGUGUUCCAGGCAACUGGCUAUCAAAAGCUGCUAUUACAGAAGCUGGAGCAGACUUAGCAAUGUUCUUCUGAAAAUGUAAAAGUCCUUUGGGGAAAACGAAGACUUCUCCUUUGUUAAUGUGUUUGGCAACGAGUUUUCCAGCGAUAGUUACAAAGCCUACGUAGAGCUGACCUUCUAGGACGUAAAUUAUCUCAGAGGCGCGUGGGUGGAUGUGCGGUGGGUUUAGGCCGUUUGGUGCGUAGUCAAUGCGGGACAUGGAGAGGCCUAGAGUGUUGAGUCCUGGUAGCUUCUCUACGGUGGCUCCGGUUACUAUGGCUCCCGUGGAGGUGUUGGAAGCGGCGGAGGCGGUGGCUAAGCCUUGGAAGUAGAAGUCUUCCGGUGUUACUUGUGUAUUUGAUUAUUUGAUCACCAAGAAGAAGGUAAGAGAAUCUGUUGAUGUCUAUCGUUUCUACUCUCAGAAUCACUGAUGUGUUUUUGGUUUGGUGCAAACACAGCUAGAGGAAGACGAUGAGGUUGCUACUUUUGUGAAUCCUUACACGAAGAAGGAAACGUCGGCACUUGGUGAUUCUAAUAUGAGGAACCUGCAGCGUGGUGAUGUGAUUCAGCUUGAGAGGAAAGGCUACUACAGAUGUGAUGUGCCUUUUAUCAAGUCUUCAAAACCUAUCGUCUUGUUCUCAAUCCCAGAUGGAAGGCAACACCAGCCAUUGGCUGCUAAUUGAAGAAACUCUUAUUGAUUCUUCUUCACAUUUUAUGAAACUUGUAUUAAGGAAUUUUCUAAAAAAAAAAUCUCUGUUUAAGACAAGA
rnacentral:lncRNA from 1 species